UACGUAGGGCGCAAGCGUUGUCCGGAAUUAUUGGGCGUAAAGAGCUCGUAGGCGGUCUGUCGCGUCGGUCGUGAAAACUUGGGGGCUUAACCCUGAGCUUGCGGUCGAUACGGGCAUGACUGGAGUUCGGCAGGGGAGACUGGAAUUCCUGGUGUAGCGGUGAAAUGCGCAGAUAUCAGGAGGAACACCGAUGGCGAAGGCAGGUCACUGGGCCGCAACUGACGCUGAGGAGCGAAAGCAUGGGGAGCGAACAGG
rnacentral:rRNA from 1 species